rnacentral:lncRNA from 1 species
AUUGUCGCACUGCGCGAUACUCCCGCUUGACAAUGCACUAACACGCUGCUUCCGGCUUUUCGGGCUUCCUCUGUAUAAAAAGAAAAGAUUGUUAUUAAUUACUUUUAUUAAAGAGGUUAAAAGGGAGAAUUUUUUAAAU